rnacentral:lncRNA from 1 species
AUAGAGACAAUGUUUCACCAUGUUGGCCAGGCUGGUCUCGAACUCCUGACCUCAAGUGACCCGCCCGCCUUGUCCUCGAAUAGUGCUGGGAUUACAGGUGCGACCCACCACACCCGGCUGCAAUGUUUGUUUUAAUUACUUUUGGCAAGUAUUUCCUGAGUACCCCGAGCGUGCCAGGUGAAGAGAGACGGAUAAUAACAGCGCUAGCCAGCACGUAUUAAGCCUUGCAAAGCUGCACGGGCAUGAACUUGUGGCUUCAACACAACCUUAUGAGACAGGUUUUCACAAUGUCACCGAGGCUGGAGUGCAAUGGUGUGAUCUUGGCUCACUGCAGCCUCAACCUCCCAGGCUCAAGUGAUUCUCCCACCUCAGCCUCUCAAGUAGCUAGGACUAUAGAUGUGUACCACACUCGGCUAAUUUUUGUAUUUUUUUGUAGAGAUGGGGUUUUGCCAUGUUGCCCAGGCUGGUCUCAAACUCCUGGGCUCCAGCAAUCCUCCGCCUUAGCCUCCCAAAUUGCUGGGAUUACAGGCCUGAGCCACUGGCGCCUGGCCAUGACUCCUUUCUUGAAAGACUCUCACUGUCUCUUCUCUUGCCAUCUCUCUGCUCUUCCUUUUUCUGUCCUCCUUUGUCCUCCUCCUCUUUCUCCUUCUCUGUCUCUGCCUCUCUCUGUGUGUCUCUCUCUUCGUGUCUCUCUCUUCCGCACAUCAUGCAUUCUUACCAACCAUGACUAAACACUUAUGCGAUAGAAGAAUAUGUUUUCAGUAAUUCACUGUGGGUCUUGGCUUGUAGAAAUCCCACAAGCCAGGCUCUGUGCCUUCGCUACACUUUUGGUGAGAACUUCUGUGGACAGAGGCACAAAAGCCUCAAGCUGUGAGAUUCAAAAUCUGGUGGUUAAGCCAGCCCCUCAGCGCUCCCAGCCUGCGCCCCUCGUUGGAAACAAUGAGUUGGAAAGUGUCUUGAUGACUUUCAGCAGACAGACCUGCAAAGAAGAGAAGCUGAUCUGGACUCUGGCCUUCCUUCACAACACACUGACAAGCCCACCACAGCUGCCAAACAUGAGGUGAUGGGACAGCCCUCGUGGCCUCCACCCACCGCCCUGGUGGAGAAGUGAAACAUGAACCCACCAGUGCAAGACAGAGGAAGAGGCACCAGCGAAGUCACACUAGGGAGAAUCCACAUCAGCCUGGCCAUGCAGGGGAGGCCUCACGAAGCCCUGGGAAGCCAGAGCAAUAAAACUCUUGUUCAAACAAACGAUUACAGUGGUAAGACACGAAAAGGAAGCUGUUCCUGCUGAUGAAGGGUGAGAAACCUGGAGCCUUCCCUCCCUCCACGCCACGUGGCAGACACCUCAGGGAAUGCUGGGUCUCAGGAGAACAUGCCGAUCCCGUUAACACACAGUCUUCAUAUGAAACCAUGUGGGAACUCAACACAUGCUGUCUCCUCUCUAACCUGAGAUCCUGGCCCUGUUCCACAAAGCGAGGCAGCCUCUUAUAUACCCCUCACAAACCAAGUACUGGGGUGGUGGCCAAAGGGGAGAGACAGGCUAGGGUGUGGGUGGGCCGAAGAAAUCUGAGAGGGACAGGAGCUGCGGUGGCCUGGUCUCUGAGCCUGCAGAGGCUCCCUUCCAGAGAGAGAGCUUGGAACUCAGUCUCUGCCUCCCUCCUUCUCUCCCUCCCUCCAGCAGAACUGCCCUGCCCCAGGGGGUUCAUACCUCGCUAGUCCCCUAGGCCUACACCUUUCCUAAUCUUAGGAGAGACAUAAGAAAAGGAAUCUCUCCCCUUCCCCGCAGAAUACUUUUUUUUUUUUUUUAAACAGGGUCUCUCUCUGUCACCUGGCUGGAGUGCAGUGGCGCAAUCAUGCUCACUGCAACUCUGCCUCCUGGGCUCAAGUGAUCCUCCCACCUCAGCCUCCCAAGUAGCUGGGACCACAGGCAUGCACCACCACGCCUGGCUAAUUUUUGUAUUUUUUGUAGAGAUGGGAUUUCGCCAUGUUGCCCAGGCUGGUCUCAAACUCCCAGCCUCAAGUGAUCCUCCCACCUAGGCCUCCCAAAGUGCUGGGAUUACAGGCAUGAGCCACCGUGCCUGGCCCACAAUACUUUGGUAUAGUUGCUUCAAGCCCAGAUUCUGGUUCUUCGCACAGUCAACCUAUAGGGUGCCCCCCCACCGCCCCCCCCAUAGUCCUUGAUAGUCAUGCUGGGUUAGUUUCUCUAACCAGAGGAUGGGCCCAUUCUUCGCUGUGAGAUGGUGUGUGGGGACAUCGGUAAGGAACAAAUAAAGACUUGGGCAAAUAACUUUAUUCUGAGGUUGGUUAUCUCAGCCACAGGCUGAGCAUCAUAGUACCUAUUCCGCAGGGCUAUUUGGAGGAUUAAAUGAGAUAAUGUGUAUCAAAGCCCAACAUGACAGGAGCUCAGCGUAGAAGCAGUUCCAUACCAGAAAAAAGGAUGGCUUUGUCCCUUAGGUGUCGUGUCACCUCAGAUAAGGCAUUUCCCCUCUUUGAACUCCAGUUUCCUCAUUUGUAAAAUGAGCAUGUUUAAAAUUUUUUUUACUUAAAAAAGGGGCAUAUUAAUAUCUACCCUUCACAGUUGCUAUAAGUAGAGGCGAUUCACAUGACGUGGUUGAUACCUGGCACAAAGAAAGUACUCAAAACAGGAUAGUAAUAAUUGUAAUUAUUACUACUUUUACUAUUAUUAACUUAACUAGAAGGGCAGUGUGGUUUUAUAGUUAAGCACAUAAACUUUGCAGCCAAAUUUCCUAGGUUUAACUUACAAGUCAUCAAUGGAGCUGUGUGACUUUGAGCAAAUUACUUAACCUCUCUGUGCCUACAGUUCAUUAACUGUAUACUAAUUUACCUACUUCAUGGCCUUGCAGUGAUAAAGAAGUUAUUGUAUGUAGAGCACUUUGCAGAGUGCCUGGCAAAUAGUAAAUGCCACAAACACAUUUGCUGUAAUUAUUCUUAGUAAUAAAUAUCCAUAUUUGUACUAUUAUAGUCAUUAACAACUCGGCUCUGUGAAAGCCUUCUCCUUGGAUCCAAUUAAGGGACCCACAAACCAACAGAUCCACCAUCCUACAAAAGGUUUAGCCCCCUCAGAAGCUGUGUGACCUCGGGCUAGUUACCUCUCCUCUCUGAGCCUGCUUUUAUUUAUCUACAAAAUGUGAAUUGUAAUAGUACCCAUAAUGAUACUUCUAGGUUGUUUGACGUGCAUUAGUGAGCGAUGACCCGUGGGAAGCUUCUAGCUUCUAGUCAAUUAAGCCCUGGUCCCCGUGCUCUG